AGUGAACGCUGGCGGUAGGCCUAACACAUGCAAGUCGAACGGCAGCACAGUAAGAGCUUGCUCUUACGGGUGGCGAGUGGCGGACGGGUGAGGAAUACAUCGGAAUCUACUUUUUCGUGGGGGAUAACGUAGGGAAACUUACGCUAAUACCGCAUACGGCCUACGGGUGAAAGCAGGGGAUCUUCGGACCUUGCGCGAUUGAAUGAGCCGAUGUCGGAUUAGCUAGUUGGCGGGGUAAAGGCCCACCAAGGCGACGAUCCGUAGCUGGUCUGAGAGGAUGAUCAGCCACACUGGAACUGAGACAAGGUCCAGACUCCUACGGGAGGCAGCAGUGGGGAAUAUUGGACAAUGGGCGCAAGCCUGAUCCAGCCAUACCGCGUGGGUGAAGAAGGCCUUCGGGUUGUAAAGCCCUUUUGUUGGGAAAGAAAAGCAGCAGGUUAAUACCCCGCUGUUCUGACGGUACCCAAAGAAUAAGCACCGGCUAACUUCGUG
rnacentral:rRNA from 1 species